rnacentral:sRNA from 1 species
CUUCUCGUGAUAGCAAUGAACACCACACAGAUCGGACCUCAAUGUUCCGGCCUGUGUGGCGCUCACAGCUAUCCCCUCCUGGUUUGGACCUAGCCGAAGGAAAUUAAUUUAUAAAAAAAAUUAAAUAGCAAAAUAUUUGUCUGGAACGAAUUUUAUGAACCCACCAAAAGAAUCGCAUUUGUUAAGUUCUUUGAACGGUUUUUGUUAAUGGAGUGACAACAAAAUUCGGAUCGAAAUUUUGCAUUUUGGUCUGGCAGCUCAAGAUGUCAAAUCGGCAGAUUGAUUUGUAUGGGCUAUUACCAUACUUUACAUGGCUGUUGGAAUCAUAAUUGAAGUCGUGCCAGAUUUCAGCCAAAUCACUCGGAGACCUUAGGUUCAUUGUGUUUAGCCUAGAAGAGAGAACAGAAGUCGAAAAAAAGGAGAUCCACCACAGUGGAAUUUUUCGAAUUUAAUUAAAAGCGUUGCAUUACACGUAGAGGAGACAUUUUUUCAUUACCUUGAAACCGGGGUUAAAGGAUGUCUCAACUUUUCUUAUUGAACCAUGUUGUUGUAGCAGUGUGUUGUACACUGAGGCGGCAGCCCUUGCCGAUGAAAGACUCCAUCGCGUCUAUCCGGCUGCCAUGGGAUUCGUUGUUGUCAUGUAUCAUGUGUUCAUCUGGGCUGGGCUUCACUAUAGCUUUUAACCCAAAUGUCUUGUGCUGAUAAAUUCAAAUCAAAAUUCCUUACCUUACACAAAGAAAAAACUUAAAGUUAUAAUGGAUCAUAAAGACUUUAUUCCUUAAUCUUUAUUAAAAAAAAAAAACAAAUAUAAAUGCAUUAAUGUUAAUUUUUUUUUACAAUGUCUUAAUGAAAAACAGAAAAUUAUUUAGAGAUAACUACAAAUUACACCACAAAAGGCCUUAUAAACUUUGGUUGCUUAAGCCUAGUACUGACUUCGGCUUGUCGCCCAAAGACACUAAACAAUGGUGGCGAUUCCACAUGUCGAACUGGGUCACAAACAACUCUGCUUCAAUGUUGUGGCUAUUGUUGUGUGCCGUUGUAUAAUUUCUGUUUGUGCUCUGUCGUUCAAUACAAUGCGGCAUAUUUCGCAAUCAACUCGUAGACAAUUUUCAUGCGAAUGAAGUCGGUACUAGGCUUUAGAUAUUAAAUUAAAAUUUAAUAUUAUUUAAAAAAAUAUAUAGAUUUAAUUUUAAACAUGCAUAAAUAAAAUGACUUAAAUACGUGUGUUUUUUUGUCUGUUUUGCAA